rnacentral:other from 1 species
GAAAAGCUGCCCGGCCCGUUAGGAUCACGUCCCCGGGGCCUUACAUUCAAGUUCGGGAACUGCCUCUGGCGGAGAUCGUGGUCUCCAUCACGCGGUGCCCACCUGGUCCUUCGGGUCCAGGGCGACAAUACCGUCCGACGGCCGGUGCGGCGAUUUU